AAAAGAAAUUGAAUACAAUUCCCUGUGCUAUACAGAGUGUGUCCAUGUCUUGCAACGGGAUGGCUUAAGCAGACGGAGUAAUUACAGUAUGCAGUACGUUUUAUGGCUGACAUAUAAUUGCAGAAAUCGCUCUUUUUCUGACAGGACCCAUGUUGAAAGAGCAGCUUUUACUUGGGACAUGUCUGGGAAAGAUCAAGAGAACUGGCCAAAACUCAAGAAGAAUCAUAAACCUCUGCUUCAGCAUGCCAUGAGGUCCAAGGAAAUGCAAGUUCAUGGACAUUAGAAAUAAUACCAAAAUAUGGAGACCAGCUUUAGAAGUUUCAUGGGAUCAGCAGAACGUGAUCAUCUGGAGUGAUUUUUGGCCUUCUCAGUUUGCCAAGCCAGGAGGUAAAUGCCAGAGUUACAAAAUUAAAGAUUAAGGCACAGACUCUGCCCUCAACGAGCUCCCAGAGAGAUGCAGAAAUGAAGAAUGACAAUGCAGCAUGAGAAGUGCUGAUAACAAAAGUCUGAUCCAAAGGAGACCCAACCGUGGAUUCAUUCUGCUGCAGGUUCCUGGGUAAAGACCUGCACUCCCAUCGACAUGUUGACUGGCAUAAAUGAACUCGAGAUGUGAGUUGCAGCCUCUGGGUCAGAUGGUAUAUCAAGCCCAGUUGUUUUAGAGGAACUUGGAGUCAGCGCUCGCCCAGUUUGAGCUGGCUAGGGGCUGGUUUGGACCACAGACCCUAAACCCGGAUCUGAUGAAGGGCCUUUUGACAUCAGAUGCUGGAAAACUCCGCCCUCCGAUCCUGGACAACGUCCUCCCAAGUGCUGGCCUACAGAGAUGGACCGAUGGUGACCAUGACGACCACUGAGCACAGAAUGCUGGGCACCGUACAUUGUCUCACUGACUCCUAGCAGUAACGCUGCGAGACAAUCCUCAAUGAACAUCCUUGUCUUUGGCACACUUUCAGUGUUUCUGAAAGAUAAAUUCCUAGAAGUAGUAUUACUGGGUCAAAAAACUAUGCUCAAUUAGAAAGCCAAGAAGUACCUCUAAAUUUCUCCAAGACUGAGGCAAUUUAUACUCCCACAACAGAGUUUGAAUGAAAUUCUGUGUGCCCUUGCCUUUUUAAUUACUGCUAAUCUGAUAGCUGAAAAAUGGCAACCUGUUGGUUUAAUUUGCAUGUCUCUGAUCAUUAGUGAGACUGAGCAUCUUUCAGUUAAGUCCACUAGUCAUUUGCAUUUCUUUUUCUGGAAAUUGCAUGUUUAUCAUUUUUUCCUUAUUUUUCUUGUGAGUUUGUCUACUCAUUUUUUAAUUUGUAGUUGUCUUUUACACAUUAUGUACAUUAGUCUAUUGUCUGCUAUAAAUAUUUUCUUCUCGUCUAUUGUUUGUCUUUAAUUUUAUGUUAUCUUUCAUUGCUUAGAAGUUUUAAUUUUUUAUCUCUCCAAAUCUGUCCCUACUUUCCUAUUUAGCUUUUGGGUUUUGUAUAAGCUUAGAUAAGCUCUUCCAUCCUAAGGCUUUAAAAAUAUUUUCCUAUAAUUAAAUAGAAAUCCUCUUAUGGUUUUGUUCUUCAUGUUUAGUUCUUUAAUUGCCAUUGGUUUUUGUGAACGGUGUGAGAGGGUACUGAGGGGACGUUUUCCAAAGAGCUAGUCAAUUAACCAAAUAUCAUUUAUUAUUUUGGAGAGCAAUUUGACAACAAAAUGUAAUCUCCAUGAGAGCAGGGUCCUUGUCUGUCUAUCAUUGUGACCUGUUGUGACCCCAGCACUCAACAUAAGCACUAAGCCAAUCCCAUAGGAGGCACUUAGUCAAUGACUGUUGAAUAAAUGGAUAGCUAUCAAAAUUUUAGAUCUGUAUUCCCUUUAACUCAGCUAAUUUAUCUUAUAGUAAAAACUCACAUAGCUAUGCAAAGAUAUGUUUAAAAGAUAUUCACUUUAGCAUUGUAAAUUACAAAAUCAGAAAUAGCCUGAAUGUUUAAUAGGGGACCAAAUACAAAAAUUAUAAUACAUUCAUGAGUAGGAUAUCACAUGCAUAUGUUAAAAGGAUAAAGUAGAUUUCUAUGUAUUGAAAUUGUGAUGGCCAUAAUAUUUUUGCUGAAUUUUAAAAAGCAGGCUAAAAGCUAACCAUUUAUCACAGAGCAUUUUAAACAAACAUAUUCAUGUCAGAUUCUGCCUUGCCUAGAAGCAAAAAGCCCUACUUAUCACUUUCUAGUGAUAAAAUAAUCUGUCUUCUAAAUCUGGACUCUGGGCAAGGACGGUAUAAGAGGCUGCCGACUCCUAUUUCUACUUCCCUUGCUUGCCUCCAAAACCUUAGGAAAAGACCACAAAUGGGUGACAAGGUGAAACUCUCUCUACCAAGUAGGAGAAACAAAUUCCAAAGAUGCCACGUCACUAGGUAGGGUUCCCAGCACUCUGUCCCUUCCCAGCCUGCACCAGUAGAGGGGGACAGAAAGUGCAGGGUACAUGAUGGGUCCCUGGCAAACACCUGGUCGUUCCGUAGGGAAGGGGUUUAUGGAAAGAGCCCACAUCUUCCAUCUGUUUACCCUCAUCACCCAUAGAAUACUGAGUUUUUCAGUCAUUACAUUAACUAGCCCUUGAGAGGGUUGUCCUUUUUCAGCUGCAUCUCAGGUGCAUUUGAGAAAUUGAAAAGAAAAAUCGUAGCUUCAUUGGUGAUAAGCUGUUCCCUGCUUCACCUUUCCCCUUCCUCUAACAGGUGAGAAAACACAUUUUUCAGUGGUUCAAAAGCCUUCCUGAGAAUCCAAGUCCCUUAGAGUGCUGGUUCACAGCGCAUAUUCUUCAGCCCCACUCCCAGAAGUUCUGAUCCAGUAGAUCUGCAGUGUGGACCUGAACAGGACUUUUAACCAGCACUCCAGAUGAUUUUCUUGUAAGCUGCCUUCAGAACAGAUUCCGAGAAACAUUAGCUUCUAUACACUAGGUGUCUUUGGCUUACGCAAAUGCAUUGGAUAUAAGUAAAUCACAAUUUUAACAGUCAAAUUACAUUUAAAACCCAUUUUAAAUUCCUAUGGCAAAUUAUAAGAUGAAGUGAAGAACAGUUUGAUAAAGAGGCCAUAAAUAACUUUGGAUUUCUGAUCAUUUUAGUUUCUCAAAUUAGAGCAAAAUUCUAGUAGCAAAGAUUACACUUUUUAAAAAUCAUGCAAACCAAGAAUAAACCCUAAUGUAAACUAUGGACUUAGGUUGAUAACGACAUGUCAGUUUAGGUUCAUCAACUGUAACUAAGGUACUAAACUACUCUGGUGAGGGGUGCUGAUAAUGGUGGGGGGGCUAUGGUUAGGGGAGGGGAUGCAGGAGAGCAGGGAGUACCUGGGAAAUCUCUACCUUUUGCUCAACUUUGCUGUGAACCUAGAAGUGUUCUAAAAAUAAUGUUUGUUAAAAAAUAACAAUAGAGGAGGGUAUAGCUCAGUGGUAGACUGCGUGCUUAGCAUGCACAAGGUCCUGGAUUC